UUCGCCACGGUCACCACCACAAAACUAACCGGCAAGGAACCGAUAAGCCAAAUUCCUUCUCUCUCCCUUCUCCUAACGACGCAGAAAUAAAAGAAUGCUUCUGCUGCCGCCCCCAAUCCCCGCUCGCUUCCCCUCUAUUCAACUAUCUUCUCCAAUCACACGUCUUCAUGUGAGCCUCCAAACAUCCUUCUGUACGGCGGCCGCCGCCACUGAAACCUCUAUCACGCUCUCAAUUGAUAAAGAUAGAGAUAGAGAUAGAAAUGACGAUGAAAAUGAUGACCAAAACGACGCUCUUUCUCUUCACAAGCGCCGUUACGACUUCUCUCCAUUACUCAACUACCUCUCCCACUCCAACUUGGAAUCUGACUUGGACUUCGACUCAGCCUCACCCACUUCACUCGACCCUAUCGAGUUCCAGCUGGCUGAGUCAUACCGCUCGGUACCUGCUCCGCUUUGGCACUCUCUCUUGAAAUCUUUAUGUUCCUCUUCUUCGUCGUCCUCUUCCGCUUCUAUCAAUUUAGCGUACGCAGUCGUUUCAUGGCUUCAAAGACACAACCUUUGUUUCUCCUACGAGCUUCUCUACUCAAUUUUAAUCCACGCCCUUGGCCGCUCCGAGAAGCUAUAUGAAGCGUUUUUACUCUCUCAGAGGCAGACCCUUACUCCCUUAACAUACAACGCUUUAAUCAACGCGUGCGUCCGCAACAACGAUCUCGAAAAGGCUCUUAAUCUUAUGUCCAGAAUGCGUCAAGAUGGUUACCAUUCAGAUUUCGUGAAUUACAGCUUGAUAAUUCAGUCGCUUACUAGAAACAACAAGAUUGAUUCAUCUGUUUUGGAGAAGCUUUAUGGGGAAAUUGAGUGUGAUAAAAUUGAGGUCGAUAGGCUGCUUUUGAACGAUAUAAUCGUUGGCUUCGCUAGAGCGAAUGAUCCAAGCCGGGCUCUACAGUUUUUAGCUAGGGCGCAAGCAAUUGGGUUGAGCCCGAAAGCGGCUACUCUUGUGGCGAUUAUAUAUUCGUUAGGUUGUUGUGGGAGGAUUGCGGAGGCUGAAGCUGUUUUUGAGGAAAUGAAGGGAAGUGGAUUGAAGCCUAGAACCAGAGCUUACAAUGCGCUUCUUAAAGGGUAUGUGAAAGCGGGUUCUUUGAAAGAUGCAGAGUUAGUUGUAUCCGAGAUGGAGAGAAGUGGGGUUUCACCUGAUGAACAUACUUAUAGUCUUUUAAUUGAUGCUUAUGCGAAUGCCGGCAGAUGGGAGAGCGCUAGAAUAGUAUUGAAAGAGAUGGAAGCCAAUAAUGUGCAGCCGAAUUCUUUUGUUUAUAGUAGGAUUUUAGCUGGUUAUCGAAACAAAGGAGAAUGGCAAAGAUCAUUUCAGGUUUUGAGGGAAAUGAAGAGUAAUGGGAUACAACCAGAUAGGCAUUUUUAUAAUGUGAUGAUUGAUACUUUUGGGAAGCAUAACUGUCUUGAUCAUGCCAUGGAUACGUUUGAUAGGAUGUUAUCAGAGGGGAUUGAACCAGAUACUGUUACUUGGAAUACGCUUAUAGAUUGCCAUUGCAAAGCAGGGCGGCAUGACAGAGCGGAGGAAUUGUUUGAGGAAAUGAAGGAAAAAGGGUAUUCACCAUGUACUACUACGUAUAAUAUUAUUAUAAAUUCAUUUGGAGAACAAGGGAGAUGGGACGAUGUGAAGAGCUUGUUGGGGAAGAUGCAGGGUCAAAGUUUGUUGCCUAAUAUUGUGACAUAUACCACACUUGUAGAUAUUUAUGGAAAGUCUGGGAGGUUUAGUGAUGCCAUUGAUUGCUUGGAGCUUAUGAAGUCUGCAGGGUUAAAACCUUCCUCAACCAUGUAUAAUGCCUUAAUAAAUGCCUAUGCACAAAAGGGUUUAUCUGAGCAAGCAAUAAAUGCAUUAAGGGUUAUGAGAGCAGAUGGCUUAAAGGCUAAUCUCUUGGCUCUCAAUUCACUAAUAAAUGCUUUUGGUGAGGAUAGAAGGGAUGUUGAGGCCUUUGCUGUAUUGCAAUACAUGAAGGAAAACGAUGUGAAACCAGAUGUAGUUACAUAUACCACACUUAUGAAAGCUCUUAUCCGUGUUGACAAGUAUCAUAAGGUUCCAUCUGUCUAUGAAGAGAUGAUUUUGUCUGGUUGCACUCCUGAUAGGAAAGCUAGGGCUAUGUUGCGAUCUGCUCUGAGAUACAUGAAGCAAACAGUGAGGUCAUAGUUGACAAUCCAUAACCCUUAUGACUAAAGCAAUAUAUGAUGGAAAUAACUGUUGUUUGAGUUAUCAAUUUGAGUUUUGGCUCACAAAUGUCAUAGGUUUAAAAGGAUCGACAAUUAAGUCUUUUUGAAUAGAAAUUGAACAGGCCCAUCCUCGUGUGACUCUUGGAAUGAGGAAACUCCAGGAGCUGUAUUCCGAACGAAGCUUGGAAUGAGGAAACUUGUCAUACGCUAGGACUAUUAUACCUAAG